GGGUUUAGGAAAUACGUAUUUAAUACGUUUCCAAUAUUUAUUUUGACUACAAAAUACGUUUGUUUGACUGAAAUUUAGGAAAUAUGUAUUUAAAACGUAUUCGUAUUGUGAUUUUUGAGAUAUUGACCUAUUUUCUCGUUCUCGUCUUGUAUCGUAUUCGUAUUUCGUAUUCGCAUCGGUGCUUCCUAGAUAAAAAAGAAUACGUCGUAAU
rnacentral:lncRNA from 1 species